AAUUUAAACGUUACUGGUUAUCCACGUUAAUGUGCACAUCCCUAGUUGUGCAAUUGUUCAUCCAGGUGUGUAUAUGUGUGCAUGUGUUUAGGUGUGGCAAGGUCUGGAUGUGGUGAAGAUGUCUCGCAAGAUGCUGGGGGAGACCAACCCGGCAGACUCCCUUACCAGGAACCAUCAGAGGAGACUACUGUUUGGAAGUGGGCAGGAAUGUGAUCCAUGGCAGUGACUCUGUGGAGAGCGCUCAGAGAGAGAUCUCUCUGUGGUUCAGGCAGAAUGAGCUACAGUGCUGGGAGGACAGCAGCGGACACUGGAUCUAUGAGUGACACACACACACCACUUGUAAGACCACCCAAGUGCCUUCAGAAACUAUUCAUACCCCUUUACUUUUUCCACAUUUUGUUUUUCCAAGCGGGAUUAAAAUAGAUUUAGUUGUCAUUUUUUUCUGUCAACGGUCUACACAAUACUUUGUCAAAGUGAAAGAAAUUCUAACAUAUGUACAAAUAUUCAUGAAAAAUUGAAAACAAAUAUGUCUUUGAUAAGUAUUCAUACCCUUGAGUCAAUACAUGUUAGAAUAACCUUUGGCAGCAAUCUUUCUGGGUAAGUCUCUUAAGAGCUUUGCACACAUGGAUUAUACAAUAUCUGUACUUUGGAUGUUGAUCAUGCUAGACAGCUAUUUUCAAGUCUUGCCAUAUAUUUUCAAGCUGAGAUGAAUGAGAUGAAAUAAAAGAUCCCUGAAAUGUU